AAUAACGCUAAUUACGCAAGAUGGAAGU
rnacentral:piRNA from 1 species